AUUGAACGCUGGCGGCGUGCCUAAUACAUGCAAGUCGAACGCAGUGGGGACGGGUGAGUAACACGUGGGUAACCUCCCAACAGAGGGGAUAACACUUGGAAACAGGUGCUAAACCGAUACUGAUGGAUGAACCCGCGGUGCAUUAGCUAGUUGGUGAGGUAACGGCUCACCAAGGCCACGAUGCAUAGCCGGCGUGAUCGGGUGACCGGCCACCCUGGAGCUGGGCGACGGCCCAGACUCCUACGAGAGGCAGCAGUAGGGAAUGGUGGGGAAUGGACGAAAGUCCGAACGAGCCACCGCGGGUGAGUGAGGAAGGUUUGCGGAUGGGAAGACCCUGGUGUUAGAGAAACGGUAUCUAACCAGAAAGCCACGGCUAACUACGUGCCAGCAGCCGCGGUAAUUC
rnacentral:rRNA from 1 species